UCCUGCACCAGAUUAUUGCACCCCAGAAAUGGUGCAACAGAUAUUAAUUUCAGCAUUAUCAGCAAUGGGGUUUCAAGGACCAGGUAACGGGGAAGCCGAUCGCAAAGGGACCUAAAGUGGGGCGCUUGUUUCCACUAUUUUUACCUGUUCCAGAUUUUUCUCCACUUUCUUCUAUUAAGUCUUUUGCUUGUAAUAAUGUUUCAGAUCUUAGUAUGGUGUGGCAUCGUCGUUUAGGCCAUCCCAAUACUCAAAUCUUAUCUCAUGUAUUGAACUCUGAUUUACCUGGUAAUAAGGAUCGUUAUUCUUUA